AACGCGAAGAACCUUACCUAAGCUUGACAUCCUUUUGACCGAUGCCUAAUCGCAUCUUUCCCUUCGGGGACAGAAGUGACAGGUGGUGCAUGGUUGUCGUCAGCUCGUGUCGUGAGAUGUUGGGUUAAGUCCCGCAACGAGCGCAACCCUUGCCUUUAGUUGCCAGCAUUAAGUUGGGCACUCUAGAGGGACUGCCAGGGAUAACCUGGAGGAAGGUGGGGAUGACGUCAAAUCAUCAUGCCCCUUAUGCUUAGGGCUACACACGUGCUACAAUGGGUGGUACAGAGGGCAGCCAAGUCGUGAGGCGGAGCUAAUCCCUUAAAGCCAUUCUCAGUUCGGAUUGUAGGCUGAAACUCGCCUACAUGAAGCUGGAGUUACUAGUAAUCGCAGAUCAGAAUGCUGCGGUGAAUGCGUUCCCGGGUCUUGUACACACCG
rnacentral:rRNA from 1 species